AGGAAUUUAGGUUAAUUAAUAAACCAGGGGCCUUCAAAGCCCCAAACAGGAGAACCCCCCUAAUUUCUG
rnacentral:tRNA from 1 species